AUAAUAGGCUCUUUCUUAAAACAUGCCAUCGGACUUCUCUCCAUGAUGCUGUGUUUUAUAAUAAUGGCGGUGCUGUGGGCUGGAGAUCGUCCUUAUGUUAGAUGUGAUUCAAAAUGCAAGGCAUGAGUUAUCUUUCUCUCGGCUGCGUCUUGCCUGUUUUGGUCCACAUGAAAACUGCAAGUUUUGAAGACUAGAACUGGAAGGAUUUUCUGUCUUUAAGACCUGCUUGUGAGCCUUCUGAAGAUGGCAGGGCAAACCACUGUGAGGACGGAGGUGGAGGUCCUGAUCCCUGGAGCGGCUGAUGCCAGGCUGCGUGUCUCUGCUCAUCACUUGACAUGCCAGCUUGCAUCUGGCACAAUAUCUGCGGUGCACUCUUUUUUUUCCAUCUGAACAUCCAACAUUGAAACGUGCCCUGCAUGUUCACUGGCUGGGCUGCUGUCCGUGCUCCGGCAGUGCCACGGUCCCCUGGGAAUGAAAGGUGGUUGUGAUUGACGGCUCAGGAGGAAAAAAGCAAAUGCAGUGCCUGUCUUCAUUAUGUGAGGUAUUUUCAAUAAAGUGGGAGAAGUAU
rnacentral:lncRNA from 1 species